UACGUAGGGUGCAAGCGUUGUCCGGAAUUAUUGGGCGUAAAGAGCUCGUAGGCGGCUUGUCGCGUCGGCUGUGAAAACCUGGGGCUCAACCCCGGGCCUGCAGCCGAUACGGGCAAGCUAGAAUUCGGUAGGGGAGACUGGAAUUCCUGGUGUAGCGGUGAAAUGCGCAGAUAUCAGGAAGAACACCCGUGGCGAAGGCGGCUCUCUGGGACGGUACUGACGCUGAGACGCGAAAGCGUGGGGAGCGAACAGG
rnacentral:rRNA from 1 species